rnacentral:rRNA from 1 species
GACGAACGCUGGCGGCGUGCUUAACACAUGCAAGUCGAACGGGCCUUGUCCCCUUUUUUUUUGGGGGUGGGGUUAGUGGCGAACGGGUGAGUAACACGUGAGUAACCUGCCCCUCACUUCUGGAUAACCGCUUGAAAGGGUGGCUAAUACGGGGUGUUCUGGCCUGCUCGCAUGGGUGGGUUUGGAAAGAUUCGACCGGUUUUGGUUGUUUUGGUGGGGGAUGGGCUCGCGGCCUAUCAGCUUGUUGGUGGGGUGAUGGCCUGCCAAGGCUUUGACGGGUAGCCGGCCUGAGAGGGUGGGCGGUCACACUGGGACUGAGACACGGCCCAGACUCCUACGGGAGGCAGCAGUGGGGAAUAUUGCACAAUGGGCGCAAGCCUGAUGCAGGGACGCCGCGUGAGGGAUGGAGGCCUUCGGGUUGUGAACCUCUUUCGCCAGUGAAGAAGGUCCUGCUCUUUGUGGUGGGGUUGACGGUAGCUGGGUUAAUGAAGCGCCGGCUAACUACGUG